UGACGGAGCAACGCCGCGUGUAUGAAGAAGGUUUUCGGAUCGUAAAGUACUGUUGUUAGAGAAGAACAAGGAUAAGAGUAACUGCUUGUCCCUUGACGGUAUCUAACCAGAAAGCCACGGCUAACUACGUGCCAGCAGCCGCGGUAAUACGUAGGUGGCAAGCGUUGUCCGGAUUUAUUGGGCGUAAAGCGCGCGCAGGCGGUCUUUUAAGUCUGAUGUGAAAGCCCCCGGCUUAACCGGGGAGGGUCAUUGGAAACUGGAAGACUGGAGUGCAGAAGAGGAGAGUGGAAUUCCACGUGUAGCGGUGACAAGCGUAGAUAUGUGGAGGUACACCGGUGGCGUAGGCAACUCUCUGGUCUGUAACU
rnacentral:rRNA from 1 species